CUGCCCUUUAGAAAAUUCCUAAAAAGUCCUGCUUCUCUGAGGAAUUUAAUGUUUUGAUAUGAAUAAGAACAUCAACAGAGAGUACAAAUAAGAGCCCUAAGAUGAAAGUUACUUACAUCAAGGCAUGGUGCUUGAGUAAGAUUACCAUGAAGUUUGGGUUCGGCAGCUUUCAUUCCAGCCAGACUGAAUAUUAUUUUUAAACUAU
rnacentral:lncRNA from 1 species